CUCUGUUAUUGUCAAGAGUGCGAUUUUUAAGUGAUAAAAAAAUGUUAUUUGAUUCUUUAAAUUAUCAUCCCUUGCCUGAACCUUUGGAGGCAACAUCUGAUGGACGAGCGGGAUUCGUGAAUCCAAAGAAUUUGGAUCAUUUUAAAUAUCGGGACAAGAAAAAAGGCCUAUUGAAGCAGGAUGACCCCGCAAAUAAUAAAUUUGGAACGUUUAUUUUCAAAAACCAAAUUAAUCCUGCGUGUAAACAAGCAAUAGACAAGUUAAUACGAAUUUAUAGUCGAAAAUUUACAUAUUAAUAAGAAAAAAGGACAUUGAGGCAAUUUAAUUAAGCAAUAGAUAAGAUUCGGCCUUUUUACGAGAUUUCGUGAGAUCGCUUUAACAGUGAGCGAUUGGUUCAAGAUCUGGAAGAGUAUGAAUUUAAUGAUGAUAUUAUCGGUGGUCCAAGGAACAUCGAAAUAAAUGAAGGCUUCAGCAAGAACAAAGGAUGCAUAGAAAAUUCUUAACAUCAUUGGUUAUAAUGUUGAGUGUGCUGAUAAUAAGAGAAAAACAUUAAAUAAAGCCGGAUCUUUUCUCAAGGCCGUAUGGAAGCCAGUCAAGAGAUCAGCACAGAAGUUAUGGAGAAGCGUGAAAAAUAGAGAGACUGAAUACAUUCAGUUUCAUUAAUGAUCUCUUUCUAUACAUCAUUGAGUCAAGUGUAUAUCUACUUGAUUUAAUCCGAGUACGUCUCGGGUAAGAGUUUAAUUAGAAUAUUUUUGUAUUUUACCUUAACACUUACAAGAUUAUCUACUCUACACUUAUAAAUUCAACCCCAUUUUAAUCCCUGAUAGAAAUGGUGUUUUUGCCAUGGUCACAGGAGA